rnacentral:rRNA from 1 species
UUGAACGCUGGCGGCAUGCCUUACACAUGCAAGUCGAACGGCAGCACGGGUGCUUGCACCUGGUGGCGAGUGGCGAACGGGUGAGUAAUACAUCGGAACGUACCUUAUCGUGGGGGAUAACGCAGCGAAAGCUGUGCUAAUACCGCAUACGAUCUAAGGAUGAAAGCGGGGGAUCGCAAGACCUCGCGCGAUUGGAGCGGCUGAUAUCAGAUUAGGUUGUUGGUGAGGUAAAAGCUCACCAAGCCGACGAUCUGUAGCUGGUUUGAGAGAACGACCAGCCACACUGGGACUGAGACACGGCCCAGACUCCUACGGGAGGCAGCAGUGGGGAAUUUUGGACAAUGGGCGAAAGCCUGAUCCAGCAAUGCCGCGUGCAGGAAGAAGGCCUUCGGGUUGUAAACUGCUUUUGUACGGAACGAAACGGUCUGCCCUAAUACGGUGGGCUAAUGACGGUACCGUAAGAAUAAGCACCGGCUAACUACGUG